rnacentral:rRNA from 1 species
UACAGAGGUGGCAAGCGUUGUUCGGAAUUACUGGGCGUAAAGGGCGCGUAGGCGGUCCUGUAAGUCCUGUGUGAAAUCCCCCGGCUCAACUGGGGAAUUGCACGAGAAACUGCGGGGCUUGAGUUCGGGAGAAGGAAGCGGAAUUCCGGGUGUAGCGGUGAAAUGCGUAGAUAUCCGGAGGAACACCGGUGGCGAAGGCGGCUUCCUGGACCGACACUGACGCUGAGGCGCGAAAGCUAGGGGAGCAAACGGG